UGCUGGACUUGCAUGUUUGUUUAAAUUCUCCUAAGAUGUUUUUGCUCAUGAAGACAGUCACUAAUCUGACCUUGACAUAGAGUCGUCCUUUGUCAGGGAUUCCAAAGUGUUUUAUAGAUGCAGAGAUUUAGUACUGACAUGCACAUGUCAGAGGGAGAAUUAACAGACUGACUGCACAAUGGUUGCACAGAACUUUGGCAAUGCAGAAAUAUGACUACAGAUGGGCUUCACUACUACAUUCCCUGAAAGACCAUACAGCAGUACUGCGUAGCAGCUCAGGUCGGGAAGUGUGGGAUACUUUACUCAGCUGAAAACAUAGAUUCCAAAAUUAGAUCAAGUCACAUUUCCUCAUGGAACUUCUGCUGCAAGGAGGCAUUGAGCUUUUGCAGCCCCUAGUCUGAAGGUGCCUGCUCCAGUGGAUGACCUGCACUGUCAUGCACGCUAUCCAAAAACAAUUGGACAAUGGCAAACUUUAAAAGUUAAUGCAUGUCCUGAUUACUGUCCAUCCCCCUCAGCCUGUGCUUUCUGACUCUUGCUUGAUGUCGCUGAGUCCUAUAUUUUGAAGGUACUAUUUAAUCCAUGACUUGCCUGCUGCAUUCUUGUUUGACCUGUUAACUGUUAAAGCAAAAAAGUUAUUUUAAGAAUAAGCUUGUCAAAGAGAGCAUAUCUCCUCCCUUCAAAGACCUCUAAGGAUUAAUAUUUGAUUAAAAUCUGACUGCAGCAUUAAAA